rnacentral:rRNA from 1 species
UACGUAGGGUGCAAGCGUUGUCCGGAAUUAUUGGGCGUAAAGAGCUCGUAGGCGGUCUGUCGCGUCGGCUGUGAAAUCCUGAGGCUCAACCUCGGGUCUGCAGUCGAUACGGGCAAACUAGAGUAUUGCAGGGGAGACUGGAAUUCCUGGUGUAGCGGUGAAAUGCGCAGAUAUCAGGAGGAACACCGGUGGCGAAGGCGGGUCUCUGGGCAAUAACUGACGCUGAGGAGCGAAAGCGUGGGGAGCGAACAGG